rnacentral:rRNA from 1 species
UACGUAGGGUGCAAGCGUUGUCCGGAAUUAUUGGGCGUAAAGAGCUCGUAGGCGGUUUGUCGCGUCUGCUGUGAAAACCCGAGGCUCAACCUCGGGCCUGCAGUGGGUACGGGGCAGACUAGAGUGUGGUAGGGGGAGAUUGGAAUUCCUGGUGUAGCGGUGGAAUGCGCAGAUAUCAGGAGGAACACCAAUGGCGAAGGCAGAUCUCUGGGCCGUAACUGACGCUGAGGAGCGAAAGCAUGGGGAGCGAACAGG